rnacentral:rRNA from 2 species
CCUAUGGCCACGUCUGUCCGAGGGUCG